AUGGCUGCCUACAAGCUGGUGCUGAUCCACCACAGAGAGAGCAUGUGGAACCUGGAGAACUGCUUCAGUGGGUGGUACAAUGCCAACCUGAGCCCAGCAGGCCACGAGAAGGCAAAGUGCUACAGGCAGGCACUGGGAGACGCUGGCUCUGAAUUUGACACCUGCUUCACCUCAGUGCAGAAGAGAGUGAUCUGGACCGUCCGGACAGUGCUAGAUGUUAUUGAUCAGAUGUGGCUGCCAGUAAUGAGGACUUGACACCUCAAUAAGGGCACUAUGGGUGUCUGACCAGAGUCAAUAAAGCAGAAACUGCUGCAAAGCAUGGCGAGGCCCAGGUAAAGAUCUGGAGGUGCACCUGUGAUGUCCCACCACCUCUAAUGAAGCCCAACCAUCCUUUCUACAGCAACAUCAGUAAGGAUGGCAGGUAUGCAGACCUCACUGAAGAUCAGCUACCUUCCUGUGAGCAUCUGAAGGACACUACCACCAGAGCUCUACUCUUUUGGAAUGAAGAAAUAGCUCCCCAGAUCAAGGAGGGGAAAUGAGUACUGAUUGCAGCCCAUGGAAACAGCCUUCCAACCAUUGUCAAGCAUGUGGAAGGUCUCUGAAGAGGCUAUCAUGGAGCUGAACCUGUCAACUGGUUAUUCCCAUUGUCUAUGAAUUGGACAAGGACUUGAAGCCCAUCAGGCGCAUGCAGUUCUUGGGGGAUGAUCGGUAAAGCCAUGGAAGCUGCGGCUGCCGAGGGUAAGGCCAAGAAGUGA
rnacentral:lncRNA from 1 species